GGUGUCGUGUCCGAGUGGUUAAGGAGAAGGAUUCGAAAUCCUUUGGGGAAACCCGCGCAGGUUCAAAUCCUGCCGGCACCG